UACAGAGGGUGCGAGCGUUGUCCGGAAUCACUGGGCGUAAAGGGCGCGUAGGCGGUCUGGUAAGCGUGUGGUGAAAGCUCGGGGCUCAACCCCGCGUCGGCCAUGCGAACUGCGAGACUGGAGCAUGUCAGAGGCAGGCGGAAUUCCGGGUGUAGCGGUGGAAUGCGUAGAGAUCCGGAAGAACACCGGUGGCGAAGGCGGCCUGCUGGGACAUGCUGACGCUGAGGCGCGACAGCGGUGGGGAGCAAACAGG
rnacentral:rRNA from 1 species